rnacentral:rRNA from 1 species
UAAGCCGUUGAAGGUGUGUUGUAAAGCAUGCUGGAGGUAUCAGAAGUGCGAAUGCUGACAUGAGUAACGACAAGGGGGGUGAAAAACCUCCCCGCCGGAAGACCAAGGGUUCCUGUCCAACGUUAAUCGGGGCAGGGUAAGUCGACCCCUAAGGCGAGGCUGAAAAGCGUAGUCGAUGGGAAACGGGUUAAUAUUCCCGUACUUCUUACAAUUGCGAUGGGGGGACGGAGAAGGCUAGGUGGGCCUGGCGACGGUUGUCCAGGUUCAAGUGCGUAGGCUGAGUGUUUAGGUAAAUCCGGAUACUCUUAAGGCUGAGACACGACGUCGAGCUACUACGGUAGUGAAGUCAUUGAUGCCAUGCUUCCAGGAAAAGCCUCUAAGCUUCAGAUUGUAAGGAAUCGUACCCCAAACCGACACAGGUGGUCGGGUAGAGAAUACCAAGGCGCUUGAGAGAACUCGGGUGAAGGAACUAGGCAAAAUGGUACCGUAACUUCGGGAGAAGGUACGCUCUUGAUGGUGAAGUCCCUUGCGGAUGGAGCUGACGAGAGUCGCAGAUACCAGGUGGCUGCAACUGUUUAUUAAAAACACAGCACUGUGCAAAAUCGUAAGAUGACGUAUACGGUGUGACGCCUGCCCGGUGCCGGAAGGUUAAUUGAUGGGGUUAGCGUAAGCGAAGCUCUUGAUCGAAGCCCCGGUAAACGGCGGCCGUAACUAUAACGGUCCUAAGGUAGCGAAAUUCCUUGUCGGGUAAGUUCCGACCUGCACGAAUGGCGUAAUGAUGGCCACGCUGUCUCCACCCGAGACUCAGUGAAAUUGAAAUCGCUGUGAAGAUGCAGUGUACCCGCGGCUAGACGGAAAGACCCCGUGAACCUUUACUACAGCUUGGCACUGAACAUUGAACCUACAUGUGUAGGAUAGGUGGGAGGCUUUGAAGACGUGACGCCAGUUGCGUUGGAGCCGUCCUUGAAAUACCACCCUUGUAUGUUUGAUGUUCUAACGUUGGCCCCUAAUCGGGGUUGCGGACAGUGCCUGGUGGGUAGUUUGACUGGGGCGGUCUCCUCCCAAAGAGUAACGGAGGAGCACGAAGGUGGGCUAAUCACGGUUGGACAUCGUGAGGUUAGUGCAAUGGCAUAAGCCCGCUUAACUGCGAGAAUGACGGUUCGAGCAGGUGCGAAAGCAGGUCAUAGUGAUCCGGUGGUUCUGAAUGGAAGGGCCAUCGCUCAACGGAUAAAAGGUACUCCGGGGAUAACAGGCUGAUACCGCCCAAGAGUUCAUAUCGACGGCGGUGUUUGGCACCUCGAUGUCGGCUCAUCACAUCCUGGGGCUGAAGUCGGUCCCAAGGGUAUGGCUGUUCGCCAUUUAAAGUGGUACGCGAGCUGGGUUUAGAACGUCGUGAGACAGUUCGGUCCCUAUCUGCCGUGGGCGUUGGAAGAUUGAAGGGGGCUGCUCCUAGUACGAGAGGACCGGAGUGGACGAACCUCUGGUGUUCGGGUUGUGUCGCCAGACGCAUUGCCCGGUAGCUAAGUUCGGAAUCGAUAACCGCUGAAAGCAUCUAAGCGGGAAGCGAGCCCUGAGAUGAGUCUU